GCCGGCAUGGCGGAACUGGCAGACGCACAGGACUUAAAAUCCUGCGGGACUUACCUCCCGUACCGGUUCGAUUCCGGUUGCCGGCA
rnacentral:tRNA from 5 species